UCCCUGGUGGUCCAGUGGCUAAGACUCCUUGCUACCACGGCAAGGGGUCCAGGUUCAAUUCCUGGUCAGGGAA
rnacentral:tRNA from 1 species